rnacentral:rRNA from 1 species
ACAGAGGGUGCGAGCGUUAAUCGGAAUUACUGGGCGUAAAGCGCGCGUAGACGGUUUUGUAAGUCAGAUGUGAAAUCCCCGGGCUCAACCUGGGAACUGCAUUUGAUACUGCAUGGCUAGAGUACGGUAGAGGGAAGCGGAAUUUCCGGUGUAGCGGUGAAAUGCGUAGAUAUCGGAAGGAACACCAGUGGCGAAGGCGGCUCACUGGACCGGUACUGACGCUGAUGCGCGAAAGCGUGGGGAGCAAACAGGA